UUUAAUUUUCAACAGACAGCGGUAUCACUGCAGAAGAUCAGCCAAUGCUCCUAAUUUCUUUAGGCCCCAGGGUUUUUUGAAAGGCAUAUUGAACUCUGGAACUUUUGACGAAUUCCAAGAGAACAGAGCAAUGGAUAUCAUAUACCUCCUGCAUUUUAUUACUACAGAAGAAUACACAGAAAACUAUACUACACUAAUUUUGGAAGAGAGAGGCAAAAUAUUGUGACAACCACUAGAAAACAAAGAAGACAGAGUGACAAAACUUCCUUGCUUGUCCCCUCCUUUCCCACACUCAUGGAGGGUCUCUAUGAGGCAUCUUUACAUAUUCAAACUGAUUAAAUUUAUAUUUCUUCUAUUGUUGAUGUUACAUGCAUUUGUUUACAACUUUUAUCUCAAACUGAGAUGCAAUGAUUAUCCUGGCUCAAUAACUA